rnacentral:rRNA from 1 species
AACUAGUAUUAGAGGCACUGCCUGCCCAGUGACAUUAGUUCAACGGCCGCGGUAUCCUGACCGUGCAAAGGUAGCAUAAUCACUUGUUCUCUAAAUAAGGACUUGUAUGAAUGGCCACACGAGGGUUUUACUGUCUCUUACUUCCAAUCAGUGAAAUUGACCUUCCCGUGAAGAGGCGGGAAUACCAAAAUAAGACGAGAAGACCCUAUGGAGCUUCAAUUAACCAACCCAAACAAGCGCACCAUUUAACCACAAAGGAAUAAACAAAGCCCAACAAUGGGUUGGCAAUUUCGGUUGGGGUGACCUCGGAGAACAAAAAAACCCCCGAGUGAUUUCAAUCUAGACUAACCAGUCAAAAGUAUUCCAUCAUUUAUUGAUCCAAAUUAAUUGAUCAACGGAACAAGUUACCCUAGGGAUAACAGCGCAAUCCUAUUCUAGAGUCCCUAUCGACAAUAGGGUUUACGACCUCGAUGUUGGAUCAGGAUAUCCCAAUGGUGCAGCCGCUAUUAAAGGUUCGUUUGUU